UACGUAGGGGGCAAGCGUUGUCCGGAUUUAUUGGGCGUAAAGAGCUCGUAGGCGGUCUGUCGCGUCGGAUGUGAAAACUCGGGGCUCAACCCCGAGCCUGCAUUCGAUACGGGCAGACUAGAGUUCGGUAGGGGAGACUGGAAUUCCUGGUGUAGCGGUGAAAUGCGCAGAUAUCAGGAGGAACACCGGUGGCGAAGGCGGGUCUCUGGGCCGAUACUGACGCUGAGGGGCGAAAGCGUGGGGAGCGAACAGG
rnacentral:rRNA from 1 species